ACAGAAAACACGACGACGAAGAAAGAAAAUGUCUGCGACGGCGAUUGUUUCUCUUCCGAACCCAAAUGCCUUCGCCGCCGGGUUUGUUAAUCGGAAAUUCCGAUGCCGAAACGCCGUAGCUAAACCCAGUUCGAGAUAUUUACCUCCUCCUUCUUCUUCUUCUUCUUCUUCUUCUUCUUCUUCUUCUUCUUCUUCUCUGAUGAAGCCUUCGCCUCUUGCUUCUAGAUUUUCCCCGUUGAUUUUACCGAAUAGAUCUUUUAAUUCUUCACUAUCCAGGAGAUUCGACACUCUCAUGGAGUGGCAAGAAUGCAAGUAAGCGAUUCAUAUUCCCCUGCUCUUGUCUUGACUCUCUCUCUCUCUGACUUGAAUGUUUUGUUGGCUCUUCGAGUAAUUUAGCUAGAUUUACAAAACGUACACGCAUUUGUGAGUUUAUUGUUUCUCUGAAUCGCAGAAGAGUGAAUAAAAAAGAUCAUUAUAAAACACUGUUUCUCUCUGAUUUUGAUUUGCUUAUGACGAUCAAUGGUUGCUCUGGAGAGGCAUGUUGCUUCUUCAAAAUGCUGCUUUACUGUACGAUAUUGAAUUUUCCUUGUCUUAAUUUGAUAAAAACUGGCUUUUUCUUGUCAAGAAUGUUCUAUGUUAGCAAGUGUUUGAACAUUUCUCUCUGAGUCUAAAAAUGCUGUGGAGAAUUUCAGAGUAAAGAUGAAGGUUGAAGUGCCUGUAUCAGUUGCUUAUGGGCUCUACUCGGAUCGAGAAUCGAUUCCUAGUUGGAUGUCAUUCAUUUCAUCCGUGAAGGUAAAUGAGUAUUUUGUUCGUUUGUCUAUUGAACAUGGAAACGCCAUGGAUUUUCUUUUUCUUUUUUUAGGAGGUGUUUGAUGUUGUGGCUUAGCUCUGCAGGUACUGAAGGACAAACCCGAUUUAUCUCGAUGGACCUUGAAGUAUAAAGCAUUUGGUCAGAAUCUAGAGUACUCUUGGCUCGCUAAGAAUUUGCAGGCAAGUAUCGUCAACUGUUUAAAAGUAGAUAUCUUAAGAAAAAUUAUUUUGUGACUUUGAAUGGUUUUUGAUCUCGAGAACGUUUUAAACGGCUUAUUUGGAUUCUUACAUAAUAAUGUUUUCUAGAUUCUGUUUCCUGCAGCCUCUCCUGAACCAGAAAAUACACUGGAUUUCUCUAGAAGGCCUUCCUAACAGGUAAACAAAAUUGAAAUGAAUCAAUGAGUCUGAAACUUCAUCUCUUGAAUCAAGCUUCAUGUGAAGGUCUUGCUUUUUUUUUUGUUUACAGGGGAACUGUUCGGUUUUUCCCACUAGGACCUUCAUCAUGUGAUGUAGAAGUGAGGUUCCAUUGUUGAUAUACAUUCAUUUUUCUCAACCAUAGUUCAUUGGUUUACGAGUUCCUGAUGAUCUACAAUAUUACCCAUUUAGUUUGUUUAUACGCGAUUUGUUACAUAAACAAUGGAUAAAAUUCUACCAAUCUUCAUUGCUUUGUUUGCAGCUAACCUUUGCAUACGAGGUUCCGCUGCUACUUAUACCAUUUGCAACAGUAAGCAUUUUUUAUUCAACCUGUAAAUUUCAUCAAUAUCUCGAUAUUUUGAGAGUUAAUCAACAAAAAUGAAUGUUUCAAAUCAUAUCUACUGGUAACAUUUAAACCCUUGCACGUCUUGUAAUCAUUCGUUUUUUGUUUUCUUCAGGCGCUUCAACCGCUAAUGCAAGGAUUGAUCAAGAAUAGUUUGGAGCAAUUUGCACAGAUAGCAAAAAGCACAAAUUCCACUUAGUUAAACAACACAACAGCAAAACUUUAAUUAUCCACAGCACACAUAUCAUCCUAUUCUUCUUACAGGAAUUUGCACAGAGAAUCAUUGUUGUGACGGUUACAAUAUUGUUUUUUUUUAAUACAGUGUUCAUGUCAAGAAAGGAUUGUUUAUAUAUAAUCACAACAUUUUAAUCUUGGACUACAGACUCUUGAGUUUAUCUGAUCAUAUGAAUAGUAUUGUUGACCAAUAAAGGACGUUUAGUUGGCCAUUUGGGAUUUGGUGGAGAUUGAAGAAGAUGGCUAAGAUGUUUUAUACAAUAUCAAAUCAAACCAGUGAUAAAAACCGGAAAUUAAAAGGUAAACCACAACCAGUACUAAACCAAGUCUAAUUAAAAGUACUAUAGCCGUAAAGCUGAAACAAAUUUGAAAAGUCAUUACGAAAUAAAACUUAAAUUCAUGCAAAAUGAUGGAAUUAUCAAACUUAGGUAUUUUAAUCGUUUACACUCGCAUAACAGCAAAAUUGCAUAUUUCUAUAGCAUAAAGCUGUAUAAUUAUUCUCCCAAAUUGUAUAGUACUUAGUUGGCAUUAAUAGUAGUAUCAUUUGCACGUGAUAUAGUAUCUUCACAAAUCGCAAUCUUCUACUGGAAUAUUUGAGCAUGUGAAAUAAUUCAACUUAGUCAAACCUCUAACUCUUUUAAGUUGCAAAACGGUAUUGUAAUGUCUAAAUACGAGCAUUAUUAUUCAAUAAUAUCAAUAUUAUACAAUUUACUUUAUAGCAAAUGAUUUUCCAACAAAUAAGGGGUUUGUCAUGAACAUGAGAUAACACUUAUGAGCUUUGAGCUGUCUUAUAUAUACAGAUAAGCUUAUCAGCAUCAUGUCAAUUAAGGGUAAAUCAAAAAAGGAAAAAAAAAAACUUUGUCAACUAAUAAAUUCAAAUAUCAAUAGGUACAAAUGGUUGACAUGUUAAAGAAAAUAAAAAUUGAGUAUGGAAUUGAUUAUUCCUUUGGAUUUCUUAAAAAUCAACAAUUUAUGGUAAAUUUGCGUAUCUCCAAAUUAUAAUGGACUUCACUUAACAAGUGGAAAAUAAGCUUCAUUCCACUAUAAAAUUGUUACUCUAGAAAAUAACAUUAGAGAAAAAAAAAGUCUAAUUCCACUCUUUUUUUUCACUUAUCAUAAUUUUUUAUUUCAUUCACUCCUCUCACUCACCACCACUAGCACCCUAUAUUUGUGAAACCAAACAUCUCCAUUCUGCUGCAAUAUUAUUUCCAAAGAGCCAAAAAUAAAGAGAGAAAGAAUCAUCACAUUAAAGAAGCUACCAAACUAAACCCUACAUCCAAAAAAAAAAAAAAAAAAAAAAAACCCUACAUCCAAAAAAUUGGCUCGUGAUCCGAUCCUACGUUUCACUACACUAAUAAUUUUCAUCACAAUCUCUAAUGAAACCGAAGCAAGGCUAUAUCAUCACAACGACAAACAUAAUCCCAACCCAAAACCAGAGCCACCUUCUUCGUCCAUAUCUCAAUCUCAGCCUCCUUCUCUCUCUCAAAACCCUAACGACUCGUGGCAGUCUCCAUCGCCGUCCCAAGAUCCCGACCACGAAGUAGUCUACGACGUGAGAAACUACGGUGCGGUCGGUGACGGUUUAACAGACGACACUGAGUCGUUCAAGAAAGCUUGGGAUUCAGCUUGUACCAACGACAACGACAACAACACUGUCUCCGUCUUGCUUGUGCCUUACGGUUUCACUUUCAUGAUCCAUUCCACCAUUUUCACCGGUCCUUGUCGCUCUUACCAACACUUCCAAGUAUAUAUAUACCAAUUUUUAUUUUUAAUCUCAAAGUUUUUUUCUUAAUGUCUACAUGAUUAUAUAUCAAACGUUAAUUAGCUGAUAUAUUCUUUGAAUAAAUAAGGUCGAUGGGACCAUCGUGCCACGGGAUGGACCAGAGUCGUGGCCAAGGGGUGUUAACAAAAGACAAUGGCUCGUCUUUUAUAGAAUCAAUGGAAUGGCUCUAGUAGGCGUUGGAGUUAUCGAUGGUCGUGGACAAAAAUGGUGGGAUCUUCCCUGCAAACCUCACCGGGUAAACAUUUUCAAUCUAAUUUAGCAAAAAAAAAAAAAAACAUUUUCAAUCUAGUUACUACCAACAAAAAAAAUUUGAUUACAAACAUUGAUAUAUAACUGUAUCAAAUUUUGUAUUUUAUAUCAUGUUGAUGCAAAUUCACUAUUUUUAUACAACAGCAAAAACACGAUCAUUAGAAUUCGAUUGUAAAACACUUAGAAAAUGUUAGUGUAAAUAUGAAUAAUCUAUGAAUCUUAUAGUAUAUGUUAUGUUCAAACAGAAUGUCAACAAAACGACUGCAAUUGCUGGUCCAUGCGAAAGCCCCGCCGUAAGUAACACAUCAAAAUAUGUAGAAGAUAUGUUUUUCUAAUUAAUUUUAUAAAAUGUUUAUGUAAUGAUUUUGGUGAAGACAGGCUUUGAGGUUCUUCAUGAGCUCGAAUCUUAUUGUGAAAGGUGUGAGUAUAAAAAACAGUCCGCAGUUUCAUCUUAAAUUCGACGGAUGUCAUGAAGUUCACGUCAACUCCCUUCGAAUCACAUCUCCGCAGUUAAGUCCCAACACUGACGGCAUCCACCUUGAGAACUCCAACUCCGUUGAGAUUUACAACUCAGUUAUUUCCAACGGUAUACAUUCAAACAUACACAUACAUGAGAAAAGUGUAAAAAAAAAAAACACUAUUUAUAGCAACAAACCUAAGUAGACCUGAAAAGUUUGAGAUGCUAUAUAGAACAUAAAAUAUCUUAAUACGGUGCAUAUAAGAAAUUCCAUUAUAAGCUAACGGUUUUAAAUCGCAGACAGAAAAUAAAAUAGUCGUUUUAGCACUUAUUUAAAAGACUAUGUUGUUUUCAUUUUUAGACGGAUCAUAUACACACAAAAACCUAUAGAAAGAAAAACAUUUAAUAUUGGCUACAAACUUCAUAUGUACCUUUUUAUCAUAGUGUAAACACACUUAAGAUUCUUAAAAUUCUUCCUCAGGAGAUGAUUGUGUCUCAAUAGGAUCCGGAUCACACAAUAUUGAUAUAAGGAAUCUUACUUGUGGACCAGGCGGGCAUGGGAUUAGGUAAAAGUUAAUUGUGAUAUAUUUUAAUUCAAGUUUUUAACAUUAAUACAUAAUAUCGUAUUUUGAUUUAACGGCAUAAUUUGUAUUAGCAUAUAUGAUACAUAUUGUACAUUCCCUAUGAUACUAUAUAAGGGGAAUUAAGUUAACUAAUGUAACUAACUCUCUUUCAUUAAUGAAGUUUUACUUUCUCUCUCUACUGUUAAUAUGGUAUCAGAGCAAAGUGAAAUUUCUCUCUCUUCUGUGUAACAACUUUUCUCGCGUGAGCUCAAUUUUCAUGGUGAUUUUCCAGUUCUUCAACUUCGAUUCAUCCUCAUGAGUGCUUCACGACGAGAUCUCGUUCUCAUUUUCUUUACGAAUCUUCUCCAUAUCAUAUCUUUUAUCUUCAAAUCGGCGAUUACAUUGAUCGUUGUCUAUCUUUUAUCUCUUCAUUGACCUCGAUUUGCUGUUUUCAUCUUCUUUUUGGCACAAAUCUUCUUACAAAUCGUUCUUAUUCACAUUGAAUAGCUCGAAUUCUUGGUUCCGAAAUCUUGUGAUGUCGAAUACUCAGAAUCCGUUAUCGUCUCAGCCGUCUCAGUCUUCUCAAUCUUCUCAAAGACAAUCGACGGAUCAAUAUGAUAAUCCUUACUUCCUGCAUAGUUCGGAUCAUGCGGGAUUGAUUCUUGUAUCACAUCGCCUCGAAUCAGGAGCCGAAUUUCACUCAUGGCGCAGAUCUGUGAGAAUGGCUUUAAAUGUCCGUAACAAGCUCGGAUUCAUUGACGGUACAAUUCCUAAACCAUCUCAAGAUAAUCGCGAUUAUGGAUCUUGGUCUAGAUGUAACGACAUGAUAGCUACUUGGAUCAUCAAUUCUGUUUCGAAGAAGAUAGGUCAGAGUUUGCUAUUCAUUGAUACGGCAAAAGGGAUUUGGGAUAGUCUUAUGACUAGGUUUAAGCAAGAUAAUGCACCUAGAGUAUAUGAAAUUGAACAAAGGCUUAGCUCCAUCCAACAGGGAUCCAUGGAUGUGAGUACAUACUACACUGAGUUAGUGACAUUAUGGGAAGAAUUUAAGAACUAUGUUGAACUUCCUCUCUGUACUUGUGGUCAUUGCGAGUGCAAUGCGGCUGGUUUGUGGGAGUCUUUACAACAACGAAGCCGUGUCACAAAGUUUUUAAUAGGACUUAAUGAGUCCUUUGAAGCCACACGUCGUCAUAUUCUGAUGCUUAAACCGAUCCCAUCUAUUGAUGAUGCAUUUAAUAUGGUUGCUCAAGAUGAGAGACAAAAGACUAUGAAGAAUUACAGUCGACCUGAGACUGCCGUUUUUCAGAGUUCUGCUCCUGCACCUAACUAUGAUGCUUCACAAUAUACUGGAGAUAUUGAUAAUGCUGCAUACGCAUUCCAAAAUAACUACAGGCCUAAACAACGACCUAUGUGUACUCAUUGUGGACAAGUUGGACAUGUAAUCCAGAAAUGCUUUAAACUACAUGGUUAUCCUCCAGGGUAUAUCCCGGGUUACAAGAGCACGAUGGCACAUCUCCAGAAUCAAAGAGCUACAACACCUACAACAUUUCAGCCACGAGGGCAAACACCAACUACAUUUCAACCGAGAGGCAAAGUGGAUAACACUUUUCGACCACCUAGUGUUGCUAAUGUCAUGAGUGAUGGCUAUCUUUCCCUUCCUCCGGCUAAUCCAACAUCAUCAUUGGAUGUCAGCUCGAUGAAUAAUGAUCAGGUUCAGGACUUACUACAUCAACUAUCCUCUCGUAUGAAGAUCACUGAACCGGUUGUAGCUCAAUGUCAAGUGGAUCAACCAAUGUCUUCCGUUACUGAACAUGGUGUCAUGGCUGCUCAAUCAUCAUCGGGUACCAUCUCUUUUCCUUCCACCUCUUUGAGAUUUGAGAAUAACAGAUUAACCUUUCAACAUCAAUGUCUAUCCACUUUAUACAACACUCUUCCUGCUGGUUCUUGGAUAAUAGAUAGUGGUGCAACCUGUCAUGUUUGUUCUGAUUUGGGUCUUUUUAGUGAAAUUACUGCAGUCUCUGAUGUAACUGUUUCUUUGCUCAAUGGUUCUAGAGUUGCCAUUACACACACAGGCACGAUUCAUUUAACAUCCACAUUGACAUUACAUGAUGUUCUCCUAGUUCCAUCUUUCAGAUUCAAUCUUCUAUCUGUUAGUAGUUUGUUAAAAACCCAAAACUGUUCAGCUCAUUUCUUUGCGGAUUCUUGUUAUAUUCAGGAGUGUAUUCAGGACUUGAUGAUUGGUAGAGGCAUUCUUCUACACAACUUAUACAUUUUACAAGUACAUGAUGCAUCUUCAUCACAUUUCAUGGGAUCCUUGGUGGUUGAUGGUCAUCUCUGGCACCAGCGCCUUGGACAUCCAUCCUCUGACAAGUUAAAGAGUCUUUCUAGUGUAAUUCCUGUGUCCAAGUCCUCAUUGUCUGUUGAAUCACAUUGUCCUGUAUGUCCUCUUGCUAAACAAAGGCGAUUGCCAUUUGAGUCUCAUAACCAUAUGUCUUCAUCUCCAUUUGAACUAGUACAUUUAGAUGUUUGGGGUCCUUUUGCUAUUGAGUCUGUUGAAGGGUAUCGAUAUUUUCUCACUUUGGUUGAUGACUGUACCCGGGUAACAUGGAUCUAUAUGAUGAAGAAUAAAAGUGAGGUUUCUCGUAUGUUUCCUUCCUUUAUUACUCUUGUCAAAACUCAGUAUGAUGCGGUUAUUAAAAUGAUUAGAACAGAUAAUGCUCCUGAACUUGCUUUCAAUGAUCUUGUUAAACAACACGGUAUCAUUCAUCAGUUCUCUUGUGCUUAUACUCCUCAACAGAAUUCUGUUGUUGAGAGAAAGCAUCAACACUUAUUAAAUGUAGCCCGUGCAUUGUUAUUUCAGUCGAAUGUUCCAAUAGUUUACUGGAGUGAUUGUGUCUUAACAGCUGCAUUUCUCAUAAAUAGAAUACCAUCUGCUUUGUUAAACAACUUGAGUCCUUAUGAGUUACUUACUAAGAAACCACCUGCAUAUGCAUUUCGGCGGUCAUUUGGUUGCUUGUGCUACGUUUCAACUUUACAAAAAGAUAGGCACAAAUUUACUCCACGAGCUGAACAGUGUGUAUUUCUAGGAUAUUCAUCAGGGUAUAAGGGAUACAAAGUCUUACAUCUUGAUUCUAACAUUGUCUCUGUUUCUAGAAAUGUGAUUUUUCAUGAGAACAUAUUUCCUUUUAAAUCAUCUGAUAUAGCUCGCACUGAUGACAUCUUUGAGAGAUUCAUUUUUCCAAAUCCAAUUCCGGUUUCUAUUGAUAAUGAUUAUACAUCUCAUUCAUCAUCUGAUAUUCAUUUAUCUCAUACAUCUGCAUCACAUAACACAAUGGCUGGUAGCUCUAGUCAAUCAUCUAUGGCUUCUGUGAUAGUUACUACAGAGAAUGCAGGUAUUUCACUUCCUCGAGCCAGACCAAAACGGACUAUAAGGGCACCAAGCUAUCUAUCCAACUACCACUGUUCCCUCACUCGCCAUUCAUCUUCAAACACUACACCUCCACCUGAAAUGACCACCACUCCAUAUCCCAUCUCCUCAUACCUUGACUAUUCCAAAUUCAAUAAACCAUACCAGCCUGUUAUUCUCUCUAUCUCCCAUGAGACAGAACCGAAAACCUUUAAGCAAGCCAUGGCAUCAAAGGAAUGGACGAAAGCAUGUGAUGUGGAAUUACAUGCUAUGGAGCUAAACAAAACUUGGAGUGUGGUUUCAUUACCCCCAGGGAAGAAUAUUGUGGGGUGUAAAUGGGUCUUCACCAUCAAGUACAAUGCCGAUGGUACUGUUCAGCGCUACAAGGCCAGACUCGUAGCCAAGGGGUUCAUCCAACAAGAAGGUGUUGAUUACUUUGACACUUUUUCCCCUGUGGCUAAACUGGCAUCGGUGAAACUGGUUAUAGGAUUGGCAGCUUGUAACGGAUGGAGUCUCAAUCAGAUGGAUAUUACGAAUGCCUUUUUACACAGUGAUCUAGAGGAGGAAAUCUACAUGAGUCUUCCUCAAGGAUAUACAGUGUCAUCUGGAUCGUUACCUCCAAAUCCGGUGUGCCGCCUUCAUAAGUCCAUUUAUGGACUGAAACAAGCGUCCAGGCAAUGGUACAAGUGUCUUUCGAAUGCUCUAACUGAAGAUGGCUUCAUUCAAUCCUAUGCAGAUGAAACAUUAUUUGUCAAAGUUCGAGGAACAUCAUUCAUAGCCCUUCAACUCUACGUUGAUGAUAUCCUCAUUGCAAGCAAUGAUGAUGAAGCUGUUUGCUCGGUUAAGCUGACACUUGCUCGGAAGUUCAAAACCAAGGAUCUAGGCCCAGCUCGAUUCUUCCUUGGUCUGGAGAUUGCUCGCAACUCCACAGGUAUUUCUAUAUCUCAAAGGAAAUAUUGCCUGGAUUUAUUGGAAGAUACAGGUCUUUUGGGAUGUAAACCGAAAACGGUUCCGAUGGAUCCCAAGGUUGCUUUGAGUAAAGAGACAGGAACUCCUCUAGAGAAUGCAACUCAAUAUCGAGAGAUCAUUGUCGCCUCUUAUACCUGUGCAUUACUCGACCUGACAUCACGUUUGCUGUGCAUCGUCUUAGUCAGUUCCUUUCAUGUCCAACUGAUAUUCAUCUUCAAGCGGCUUACCAUGUUCUCAAAUACCUCAAAAAUAAUCCAGGCCAAGGUCUUUUCUACUCGGCUAAGACUGAUAUCUGUUUGAAUGGUUUUGCGGAUGCUGACUGGGCAACUUGCCCUGACUCACGAAGAUCCGUUACUGGCUUAUGUGUUUUCCUUGGUAACUCACUUAUUACCUGGAAAUCGAAGAAGCAGGAGACUGUGGCACGAAGUAGCACAGAGGCUGAAUAUAAAGGAAUGGCUGUUGCUACAGGCGAACUCAUUUGGCUGCAUCAACUUUUGGUAGACUUGCAUUGUCCGGUUAUUUCUCAAACCAAACUCUUCUGUGACAACAAGUCAGCUAUGAGUCUUGCUAAUAAUCUAGUAUUCCACGAAAGGACUAAACAUGUGGAGGUUGAUUGCCACACUACUCGGGAUCAAGUCAAGAAUGGUUUUCUGAAGGUUCUUCAUGUUUCUUCUCAAAACCAGCUUGCAGAUAUAUUGACUAAGGCUUUGCAUCCGGGACCCUUCCACUCUAUACUUAGUCGUUUAUCAGUGUCAAACCUCUUUCUUCCUACGGGAGAAUCGGUUUGAGGGGGGUCUAUUAGCAUAUAUGAUACAUAUUGUACAUUCCCUAUGAUACUAUAUAAGGGGAAUUAAGUUAACUAAUGUAACUAACUUUCUUUCAUUAAUGAAGUUUUACUUUCUCUCUCUACUGUUAAUAAUUUGUAGCAUUGGAAGUCUAGGCAACCAAAACUCACGUGCGUGCGUCUCAAACGUUACGGUUAGAGAGUCAGUUAUAAAAUUUUCUGACAAUGGCGUACGUAUCAAGACAUGGCAAGGUGGGUCUGGGUCAGUAUCUGGUGUAAUGUUCGACAAUAUCCAACUGGAUACUGUCCGAAAUCCGAUAAUCAUCGAUCAAUACUAUUGCACAGCUAAGAGUUGUGCUAACAAAACAUCAGCGGUUUUUGUGUAUGAUAUAAAAUAUCAAAGUAUAAAAGGUACAUAUGAUAUUCGUAGUCCUCCUAUCCAUUUUGGAUGCAGCAAUAAUGUCCCGUGUACAAAUUUAACACUUUCGGGUAUUGAAUUGCUGCCCUCGAAAGGCGAAAUCAUUGUGGAUCCAUUCUGUUGGAAUGCGUAUGGGAUGACAGAUGAGUUCUCUGUUCCUUCGAUCUCAUGUCUCAAAUCAGAUCCUUCGACGUUAUUGUUAGGUGGUCUUAUAGGAAAAUGUGGGAUACCGUGAUUUGUUUCGCUUGAGAGAGUGAUUAUUAAUUUGGUGUAAUAAUAUAGAGUAGAAAGUGAAACAGACUAUUUCAACUUAGAUGUUGUUUUGCUCGGUUGAAAUUGCAAUAAUUAAUUUUGUUCUAUAUAUGUUGUUUGAUAACCACACAAAAAAGGUUCCAAAUGAAGACAUUCAAAUUUGAACAAAAAAUGAAGACAUUCAAAUAGAUAGAGCAAAACAACGGAUGAUGUAGAACAAACAUAACAAGAGUGGUUAUGUAAUUAUGUUAAUUCACUUGUUGUCUCACCCCAUCAUCAAAAGGUUAUUGAUAUUCUUCUUCGUUCUUUUUCCCAUGACAUUUUCUCUCUGCGACAUAUUCUUCAUUUCUGAAAUAAAAUCGUUAGUAUAAAUUGUUAUGAUAGAAGUUUAUAUAUCAUAUAUGUACUUACUUACACAUGCAUAUAACUGGAAUAAUAUGAUAUGGUGACAUAACUAGCAUAAAACAUUAUCUGAGUUCAACUUUUUGUCUCUGGGCUCCUUCUGAUCAAAUGUGGUUGAACUGAAAUUUGGUUUGCCUUGAAGUGUCAUGAAAGAGAAUACCUGUCAAUCAUAUGUUACAUAGGGUUUUCCAAGUUGGAUGCAUUAGAUUUUUGUUUCGUAAGCUACCAUUACUUCGACGUAGAGUUCUUCUAUUUCUCUUGUGGUUUGAAUUUGCUUUUGAUCUUUUUUGGAGUCUUUGUAUUUGAACUAAAAUCAUUUAUAAUGAAAUUUAUACGCAAAAGUAAUGAUUAAAGUUUAAAAGUUUUCCAAUCUGCUUGAUAGUUUUAUUUCAUACUUUUCUAAACAACAUUCACAUUUAGAUCGUAAAUUAACAUUCAAAGCAUCGUAAAUUAGAGACCGUAAAUUAACUUACAAAGCAAGAAAAAGUAUUUUCUUCGGUCACUCUUGAUAGAGCAAAGGAUAGUAACCGAUAAGAUUUGUGAUUUCGAUUGUUUAGUCUGCGAAUGCCCAAACGAAAUAUACGAUCUUGAGUUCGUUGAGAACCGAUGUUCUAGCCGAAAGCAAGAGGUUUAAGAGAGCAAGGUGCUUCUUAGAUUAAUAAUUCAAUAAGUCGUAUUCUCACAAGUUGAGAUAUUGACUAUACUUAUAGUAAGAGUAAAACCCUAAAGCGAUUAAGAAAAGGAAUAAAUCAAAGUUUAUCUAAAGAAAGGAAAAGAUUUAAAGAAAAUGAAUGUAAUUAAAAACCAAAGCCAAAACAGAAAAGGAAUGACGUAGAUACGCUGCAUCAGGUCACCCGGGGUAGAGAAAGAUUCGUCCCUGAAUCUUGAGGGUCAUCUUGCGCGACAAAUGGAACCAAAUGUUUGACAUUAAAGACAUCAGACGAACGAAUAUCAGAAGGAAGGCGAAGACGAUAUGCAUUUGCAUUAAUCCUUUCCAAGACUUCAAGAGGACCAAUCUUUCUCGCUUUAAGUUUGUUGUAUUCACCGGAUGAAAAACGAUCUUUUGUUAAAACAGCCCACACAAGAUCUCCGACAUGAAACUGAACAUCACGACGAUGGCGAUCAGCAUCCAUUUUGUACUUCGCAGAAGAGACUUGGAGAUUAUCAUGCACCUGCUGAUGAACAAAAGAGAUGUCUGAUACAAAGUCAAUGGCGUGACCAUGAUCUCGUGUACCAUCUGGUGCGACACCAAGAUCAAGUGGGCCUCGAGGCACAAGACCAUAAACCACCCUAAAUGGACUGAAUUUUGUACUCCGAUUAACUGCAUGAUUGUGAGCAAACUCAGCUUUACACAAAAUCGAAUCCCAUGACUUGAUGUUGUUACCAACCAAGCAUCGCAACAUAUCACCCAAAGAACGAUUAGUCACCUCUGUCUGGCCAUCAGAUUGAGGAUGGUAUGCAGAGCUCAUAUCCAAACUUGUGCGGAGAAAACGCUACAAAGAGCGCCAAAAAUGACUCAAAAACCGAGAAUCACGAUCGGAGACAAUGGACAAAGGAAGCCCAUGAAUGCGAUAGAUCUCACGGAAGAAGAGCGUAGCCACCUGAACCGCAUCUGUAGUCUUCUUACAAGGAAUAAAAUGAGCCAUCUUGGAGAAACGAUCUACGACCACAAAUAUAGUAUCAUUACCACGUUGAGUACGAGGCAAUCCCAAGACAAAAUCCAUGCUGACGUCUGUCCACGGCUGCGUAGGAAUAGGCAGAGGCAUAUACAAACCGCUGUUAGACGCAUGACCCUUUAACGUUGACAAGUCACACAACGUUCUACAUGGUGAGCAACAUCUCGACGUAAUGUCGGCCAGAAGUAAGAAUCCGCCACCAGCUUCAAAGUUCUAUCACGCCCCACGUGUCCUUCUUCAUGAAGUUCCUUAAUAAUUUGUAAACGCCAACUACACUCAGGAACGCAGAGACGAUUAUGGAGAAAAAUAAAGCCAUCUUGCAAAACAUACUCAGACUUGUUCCCGGACGUCAAGUCCAACCAAAUACGCCCAAAAAAGGAUCCUUAGGAUACAGCUCAGUAAAUGCCGCAAACCCCACAACAGAGACAUGAAGUGUCGCUAAUAGGGAAUGGCGUCGACUUAAAGCAUCGGCAACUUUGUUAGUACAACCCAAUUGAUGCUUGAUGACAAAGGUGAAUUGUUGGAGAAAGGCAAUCCAUGAAGCAUGCCUUGCUGAAAUCUUUUCUUGACUUCCUAAGUGUUUUAAAGCAUCAUGGUCUGUAUAGAGGAUAAACUCUUGAUGAAAAAGAUAAUGACGCCAAUGUCGAAUGGCCUGAACAAUGGCAUAAAACUCCACAUCAUAGGAACUAUACCGAGCUCGAGCACCUGCAAUUUUCUCACUAUAAAAAGCUACAGGUCGACCUUGUUGACUUAAGACAGCGCCGAUCCCAAACUUGCAGGCAUCGCAGUGUAACUCGAAAACCAAGGAAAAAUCGGGUAAAGCAAGAACCUGAGCGGACGUAAGCUUUGCUUUGAUCGUCUCAAAGGCUGUAUUUGCCUCGGCAGUCCAGACAAACGAAGAACCUUUGAUGCAAUCAGUAAGCGGUGCAGUGAUGUUGCUAAAGUGAUGUACGAAGCAUCGAUAAAAGGAAGCAAGUCCAUGAAAACUCUUAACCUCGCUAAUUGUCUGAGGAGUUGGCCAAGAUUUAAUUGCUUCCACCUUGCUUGGAUCAACCUCAAGACCUCGAGCAGAGACGAUAUAGCCCAGAAAAAGGACAUGUGACACCCCAAAAACACACUUCUGUCGAGCUGCAAAAAGUUUCUCCUUGCGCAAAACAAGCAGCACAGCUUCAAGAUGUUCCAAAUGGCUAGAGAGAUCAUGGCUAAAUAUCAGAAUAUCGUCAAAAUAAACCACCACGAAUUUGCCAAUGAAAGGUCGAAGGGCUUGGUUCAUCACACGCAUGAACGUACUUGGAGCGUUGGACAAUCCAAACGGCAUAACCAUCCACUCAAAGAGACUCUCGCGAGUUUUAAAAGUUGUCUUCCAUUCGUCACCAGGCCGUAUACGAAUUUGAUGGUAACCGCUCUUUAAAUCCAGUUUGGUAAAGAUAGAUGCACGCCCAAUCUGAUCAAGGAGAUCAUCUAGACGCGGAAUCGGAAACCUAUACCGAACUGUGAUUUUGUUGAUAGCUUGACUAUCAACACACAUACGCCAGCUUCCAUCCUUCUUGGGAAUGAGCAGGGCAGGAACAGUUGUAGGACUCAGACUUUCGCGAACAUGACCCUUGUGGAGAAGCUCCUCAACUUGACGACGCAGCUCGUCAUGUUCUUGUGGAACAAUGCGGUAAUGUGGUCUGUUUGGGAGCACUGCAUUAGGCAUAAGAUCAAUAUGGUGUUGAAUGUCACGUAACGGAGGCAAACUCGAAGGUAACUCCGCAAGAAAAACAUCAGCAAAUGCUUGUAACAAGUCCGAGAAAGCUGAUGGUAUCUGAGAGGACGAAGAACACACAGCCGGAGAACUGACAAGCGCAAGCACCAUAUCAGAUCCUACGAGUGCUUCUUCAAAAGCAGCUUUCGGUAAAAUCAACAAGGAUUUAGAAGAAUGUGAGGUGUCUUCUGUGGUUGCUGUGAAGAAGGAACAACAGACUCCGGAAGCUCGCGAGUAGGUACCAACGUAAUUGUACGGUCGUUAAAAGCAAAAGUAUAGGUGUUACUCUUGCCACGGUGCACCACAUCUCGGUCGUAUUCCCACGGACGACCCAAAAGGAGGUGACAGGCAUCCAUGGGGACAAUAUCACAGCUCACAGAAUCUUUGUAUAGACCGAUGGAAAAAGGAACAAGUUCCUGUUGCGAAACCAAAAUUUCCGAACCCGUAUUAAGCCACGCGAGUUGAUAUGGAGCAGGAUGUGCUAAUGUUUGGAUCCCCAAUUUUCUUACAGCGUCUUCAGAAAUUGCGUUUGUACAACUACCAUAAUCGAUAAUGAGCUUACAAAUCUUCCCAUUAAUGGUGCAGGUUGAUCGAUAUAAGGUAGUACGUAGCCAAGAUUCUGUUACGACGCGAGGAGCAAAACAAUUACGGCGAAGCACGAGAGUUUGCGAGGCAUGUCCAGUGUCACAUGAAAUAACGUCACCGUCUUGAUCUUGAUCAGAAUGAUAUUCAUCAUAACGAGGUUCAUCGGACUGGUCGUGCUCAAGAGUAACUAAACCGCGGCGAGUUUGAUUAGGGCAGGCGGUCUGGCGGUGACCCUGUUCCCCACAAGUGAAACAACGUAAAGCACCAGUUUGCUGAGGACGUGACGCUGCGAUCGAAUCAGGAGGAACAGCAGAUUUGGUGAAGUUUCCGCGAGAAGACGCGGUCUCAAGCUGUGAGGAAGUCGUUGCAUCAGACGCUGUCUGCGACUGAAAACGAGGACGCGAAUUAGUUGAACCCCAAUUCGACGUCCAUCGUUUAGAGCCGUCAGAUUUGGCGACUUUGAUGCCACCGUUGACGUCGAAAUCGGAAUUCAACGCGAUCAGAUCACCGUCAGGAGAUGAUGAUGGAAACGAUCCGUUUAAUCUGAGCAAGCGGAGGGUUUUGAUCGGUGACACGAUCGAUUCCAGGUUCGGAACGGUGGACUCGCCCUGAGUCGACUCGCCUCGGAAUCGGUGGUAGCCGAGGAACUCGGAAUCAGAAGACACGAAGGGGCUGUAAUGGUGGAAACUCGGAUUGAGUGGCUCGGUAACCGCCUGAAACGUUUUGCGUUCAAUGUCGAAAAUCUCGAUGUGGCGGUGUUUGACUCCGCGACGACGAGUUGCGACGGCGAUUCGUUUCCCGUCGUGGAAAGCUGCAGGAGUGAAGCAAUGGAGACCAGGAGGAGUGACUCUGAUCGGUUCGAUCGGAAAACCGGAAUUCACCUCAAAAUUUUCUGGUAUAUCUAACCGGAAAAUGCUCCACCAACCAUCAUCUGCUUUGUGGUGAAAGAAAACGGUGGAAUCGCCGGACCAAGUCGGCCAUCCGCCGUGUUCGCAAAUCACCACUCUCGUCUCCGGCUCAGAUGCUUUGAAAACGACGAUAUCAGUGUUGAUCUCGUGAAACUCACCGCCCCAAGAGCGAGAUCCGUACGACGCGACGGUCAAAAGCUCUCCCGAUUGAGAAACCGCCGGGCUAAAAUCGGCGGUGUCUAGUGGAGUGACACGUGUUACUUCUCUCUCUUCGCCGUCGAGCUUCACGGAGUAAAGCGCGGACCAAUUCUUGAAAUGACGAUCAGGCUGCUCGUGAGCGGAGAUGAAAUAAAGUCUGUUGUUUUGAGUAAUGACUGGACGGUCGUGGAAGAAGCUUUGCGGAGCUCCGGGGAGCUGCUCGGGCUUUGAAUCUCCGGGUCGGGUUCUAAAAAUCCGGGCAGACCCGGCUCGUUCCGAGACGAAGACCACAUCGCCGUUAUCGUUGGCGAACUGAGCGUUGAAGUUAACGGAAACGCCGUCUGUUAAACGGCGCUCAACGGCGGAGUUGAUGUGGAGAGAGAAGACGUCGAAGCCGUAGUGAGUUCGACCAACGGUGGUGAAGAUGAUGGUGCCACUUGGAGUCUCCAUUGCCGUAGAUUUUAUUGAAUCGGUGGUGGUAACCGACUGGAGUAUUUAUAGAGUGUUGAUGACGUGGCGAAAAAGUUUGACUAUUUUAAGUAUUUGACCGUGUGUGAACGGAACAAAAUGAUCCGUGCGUGCGUGUGUGAUGACGUUGCAGUCUCCAUAGGAUCUUUUUAACCUUAUUGUGAACUGAUUUUUGUUUUCUUAAGAUUCUUUUUAGAUAAGAAGCAAGCACAUAAAGUUGUAACAAUUUUAUGAAAUAAAUAUAUAAAAAAGCUGAUAAAGUUUAUGAAUCAAAAGUGAUGACUUGCACCAUAAUUUCUACUGGUCUUCACCUACAAAGUAUUGAAUUACUAACGACAAUACAACAUCAAGCAGAGGAAGGAGUGGAUUUUCCGGCGAUUAGUAAAGUAUUUUCCGGUGAGACGCUCGCCGGUAUAUAUUUCACUAGCUUAGAAUCUAACCCAUGUUUCUUAACCCACCACAUCCUCCCCGUAUCGAUGAUCUGUUUACACUUGAACCCUAAAACAGCUCUUUCCAUGGGUUUCAUUUUCUUCACAACUUCGUCAACGCUCCUCAAAGAAUCAUCUUCCACUCCUUUUACUUGUUCUUCCUCCUUUGUACUGCUGCAUCAGACGACAAACAAUCAAGAUGAAAUAACUUAUUUCAAGUAACACCUUUAUCAUCUUUGAAUCCAAGAAAUGUUUACUCUGAAGCCUGAAGGUCAAUGUCGUCAACACCGGGAAUUUUGGAACCGUGAUCAUCAUCUACAGCCCAGCUAGUGAACCAAGUCAUGGUAUGGAACUCGUCUUUGGACAUCCCAAGGCUAAUGAUAUAUUCUUUAUCUGUGAAACAAAAAAAGAAAAAUGACAUUUCUUCAUUGAUGGAGAAUUCUAUACUACUCUGGUAGACCAAAGAGGAAGUGACUGAGUUUACUUAUGUAGCUUUUCCAUUGGCAAAGAUGAUGGCAACAAGUCGCGAUGGCGAGACCUCUCAGAACCGGGCUUUCAUCAUCUUGUCUAGAAAAACAACAUCUUAGGCUCAAAUCUAUGAUCACAUACAAAUGAUCAUUGAUUAGCAACAUAGACACUCAUAUUAAAGUGAAAAUCUGAACUGUGUAAGAGUGAAGACAUAAACAUGUAGUGACCUGUUGCAGGACCACAGAGAUGUUUCCCAACAGCCACAUAAGGAACACCGUGCAAAGAUUCGACCGCGUUAAGGUUCAAAUCCUCAACUGAAAACACAAAGAGGUUUUAUUUUUCAAUCCAUUAAUACAGGUAAAACAAGAAAAUGUAUUAGACUCAAAGGAACCUUACUAUCGAUUCUCAUACGCUCUAAUACCAAGUUCUCCUUUUGCCUCAGUGACCGAUCAGCCUAGAAGUAGCAAAACAACUGCAGCUUGAGAAAUAAUCUACUGAAAGGAAACGGGAUGAACACAAACGAGCAAGCUUAACCAACCUUAAGCUUGUAAGAUUUCCUCUCAACUAAAUACACUUUUUUGACCCCAUAGCAAUCUGCUAGCAUCUGUGUUAAGUACCCUCUCCCAGCUCCAAAUUCAACAACCGCAGACACAUUCUCAUCUUUAUUAUCCAGAUUGCUUUCGCAACAUUCCACAUUUUUGUUGCACCUUUUCAAUGCACCAAUCUUUUCCAAGUUACCAAGAAUCGAACCUUGCUGCAAAACAUGUUUCUCUUGAAACGGUAGUUUCCUGCCCAAUAAUCAGAACAUAUCAGUAAUAAAAAGGAACUUCUCCUCUGAUUCACCAAACCCCAAGAACAAAAGCUACAAACUUUUGAACCCUUACCUAUCUAUCUCCUUAGUAAACCAUAUGUUACAAGCUUCAGGUGACAGAUACGAAUCUUCGAUAUCUUUACAAAUACCGCCAUGAACCGACUCAAUUUUCUUAAUUAGCUGAUGAAACUUAGAAACACUCAUACUAUAAAGUAGAUUCCUCUUCAUUUCUGAAGUAACAACAGAAUCUGGACAACAAGAGGAGCCCAUCUUUUCUUUAUCUUCUUCUUCUUCGUUUCCGGCAUUAAUACCCUUGUGGUAAAAUUGUUGACCAGACAAUGCUACCGUUUGUUUUAGUAAAGGGCAUCUUUUGACAUGCCCUUCGAGAUUCUCCUGCAACACAGAGCUAGAAAAAUUCGAAUCAAACCGUUGCUACCAAGAGCAGAGAAUGGCAAAAUUAACAUCUUCGAAAAAAACAUAAUCUUUUACUUACUGAGAAGGAUCAAUAGGGCAUGGAAUCCACUGACCAUCUAAUCGCUGGCUAUGGUUUCCACAAAACCUGUUUGAUUACUUAAGAAAAUUAGCUCCUGACUAAUUUGAAAAUAAAAUAAAAUCGAAAAUUUUCACUUCCAAGUAUAUAGAACUUACAACGAACUCUCGAUUCGAGUAUUGGCGCAUGAUCUUUUCUUCUUCGGAAGCCAGAAAUUACAUCGAUUGCUACUUCUCGCCGACAUUCUCACCGAGCUUGUUCAGGGAGAGAACGAGCGAGAGAGAAGGGAGGAAGACGGAGGUCUUCAACACUCUCAAAUGGGCUUCGUUUUUGGCCCAUUAAGCUUUUUCCGGGCCCAUUUAAGAAUUUUGAAUUGAAGAAUUUGCAACCUCUUGAAGCAGGACACGUGACAUCACCAAAACAAGAAGCAACCUUCUCCUUCUCCUCCUCCUCCUUUCAUACUCUUUUAACGCCACGCUCUUUCCAUUUCUUUCGCCGGCAAAACAGAAAGUCACACAGAAAACACGACGACGAAGAAAGAAAAUGUCUGCGACGGCGAUUGUUUCUCUUCCGAACCCAAAUGCCUUCGCCGCCGGGUUUGUUAAUCGGAAAUUCCGAUGCCGAAACGCCGUAGCUAAACCCAGUUCGAGAUAUUUACCUCCUCCUUCUUCUUCUUCUUCUUCUUCUUCUUCUUCUUCUUCUUCUUCUUCUCUGAUGAAGCCUUCGCCUCUUGCUUCUAGAUUUUCCCCGUUGAUUUUACCGAAUAGAUCUUUUAAUUCUUCACUAUCCAGGAGAUUCGACACUCUCAUGGAGUGGCAAGAAUGCAAGUAAGCGAUUCAUAUUCCCCUGCUCUUGUCUUGACUCUCUCUCUCUCUGACUUGAAUGUUUUGUUGGCUCUUCGAGUAAUUUAGCUAGAUUUACAAAACGUACACGCAUUUGUGAGUUUAUUGUUUCUCUGAAUCGCAGAAGAGUGAAUAAAAAAGAUCAUUAUAAAACACUGUUUCUCUCUGAUUUUGAUUUGCUUAUGACGAUCAAUGGUUGCUCUGGAGAGGCAUGUUGCUUCUUCAAAAUGCUGCUUUACUGUACGAUAUUGAAUUUUCCUUGUCUUAAUUUGAUAAAAACUGGC
rnacentral:lncRNA from 1 species